rnacentral:misc_RNA from 1 species
GUAGGUGAACCUGCGGAGGGAUCAUUACCAAAGAUGGCGGGCCUCCGCGCCCCCGUCCCCAACCCAUUGUUGACCAAAACCCUUUUGCCUCGGGGGCAGAGCGUCCGCCGCCGCCCCCGGAGGACCAUUUAACGCUGUCUCUUUUGCGUCGGAGUAUUGAUUAAAUGAAUGAAAACUUUCAACAACGGAUCUCUUGGUUCUG